CAGCUGUGGAAAGGCAUUGUGCUUAUUGGUUUUAUUUCUUCUGGGGCCUGCUUUCCGCUGGGUCUGGGGUUCGAGUCCCGCUUGGGGUGCCUUGCGAUGGACUGGCGUCCCGUCCUGGGUGUGUCCCCUCCCCCUCCAGCUUUGCGCCCUGUGUUGCUGGGUUAGGCUCCGGUUUGCUGCGACCUCACUUAGGACAAGCGGUCUCGGGCAGUGUGUGUGUGUCCGUGUGUGUGUAGCUGAGCUACUCUAACAGUGAUUCCUACAAGGACAUUUUAGAGCAAUCUGGAGAAGACGGGUAUGAAAAACUCCUUUUAAAUCCCAUUUUAGUGAUUAUACAGCCAAGACCGGAUGUCUGUUCAUAACCCUGUGUGUUUGUAACUCUAAAAUGGCUUUUACUAAUUCUCACAAUCAAUAAAAGCUAGAAAAUACAGAUGACCUUCA
rnacentral:lncRNA from 1 species